GAGAGGUGCUAGCAUGCUUCUGUGUGCUGUGGCCUGGGGGAAGUCUAAGUGGACCUGGAACGUGGGUGGGGGAUAAGAAUGGGUAGAUGCUUCUGGGCUAUUCUGACUCCCAGUGGAAUGCAGAAGUAGGCUGCAGAGCACCCCCUACAGCCUGCCUGCGGAGCAGCACGGGGCUCCAGUCUAAUUUCCCUGUGGGCUCUCCAACCAGAGGCAUUCCUAACCACUGGACAAACACAUCGCAGAAGGCUCCUGUACAGUUGGAGCAGCACCCGGAAGGCUUGCACUAUGGUGGGCACAGGAAACUAAGGAUAACUAACAUUCAGGCCUUCACUUCAAGGAGCCAAUAUUUGCAAGAGUGAAGAGAAAUGGCCUUGAACCGUGUAGUCAUGUAACAAUUCCUGCUCCGGGACUCGGAAGAGGUGAACUUGGGUACAAUAUACCCUCAUGCCUUCUGGGUCCAGAGACCAGAUCUGAAGCAGAAACCCACUGGGUACACACUGGAAGCUGGCUGUGUGUAAAAGCUCCCAGAGAGACUCCAGUGAGGGAUCAUGCAGUUGCUGAAACAUUAUUGUUAUAAAUGAUACAGCAUGGAGCUAAAUAAAUGAGCUUUUGAAACACUGGUAAGUGGGAGCAGCUAGGACAGACAGCCAAGCCACCUUCGUGAUAAACAUCCUGAGCCCAGAGUGUACAGAUCAGGUUGCAGUUGGCCCUGCACAGCCUAUAAUCCUAUUUGGAUGGCUCAUCUCCACCCUCCCUCCCACGCAUACCAAUAUAACUUCAUAGGUGGUUGUAACCUGAGCCGAGAUCUCUUUUGAGUCAUGAGGAUUUGCCUGGAUGGGGAGUUAUAUGCCUGCUUUAGCUUCGGAAGGCUUGCUUUCCUUUAUUGGCUUGAGACAAAAUUCAUAGGACAUAAAGUUAGCAGCUGUAAACUGUGCAACUCUCCGAGGUCCAUGCAUGUUGUAUCGUCUAUUUAAAUAUCAUUCUAUUUUCAGGAGCGAGCAGUAUUCCACACAUGUGUAUAUCCACACUUGCUUAUCCACUCAUCUGUGGGUGGAUAUUUAAGUUGCUUCCUCCUCUGGGCUAUUGUGAACAUGAACACUGUGAACAUCUGUGUGGGGUGAUGGCCUCAGCACCUGUUUUUAAUUCUUCAGGGUAUGUACCUACUCACAGAGUUGCUAGGCCAUGGGGUAAUUUGUUUGAUUUCUAAGGAGCUGCUAGGCUGCUGUUCACAGAGACCAUCCCACUCCAGUUCCCACCAGCAGUGUAGGAGGACUCCAAUGACCACAGCUUCCCUAAAACUUACUGCUAUUUUUAAAGUAUUAUAACUUUUCUAGUUUCAUUUCUGUCUCUGUGACUAAUUCCUGAUCAAAAGAAUCUUAGGGAAGAAAGGACGUACUUAGCUUACAAUACCAGGUUAUAGUCCAUUGUUUUGGGGACACCAAGGCAGAAAUUUUGAGGAAUCACAUCCCCAGUCCAGGGUAGAGAGAAUAAACACAGGGGCCCUGUUUGCUUGCUUUCCUCUAACGUUCUCUUGUCUUAAUUAUUUUGUCCCUCUGCUUAGGGAAUGGCACCACCCACUGUUCUGGGUCUUCCUGAAUCAAUCGACAAUCAAAACAACCCCCAUGAAUGUGCCCUCAGGCCAACCUGAUCCAGAUAGUUCCUCAGUUGUAACUCUUCCUCAGGUACUCUAUGCAGUGUCAAGUUGCCAAUUAAAACUUACCCUGUUGGAUUUGAGGUGAUAUGACUAAUGACAAUGGACAUUGUUUCGUGUGCUUAUUUAGCUAUUUGUACAUUUUCUUUCAAAAAAUAUAUCUUUUCAGUAUCCUUCUCAAUUUAAAAAUGGAAUUGUCUCUCUUUUUGGCUUUUAAAUGUUAGAAAAUUUUAUACCUUGUGGCUAUUAAGACCUUUAACAGAAAUAUGAUUUGCAAGUGCUGUAUUCCAACUCAUCCUGCAUCUUUUCUCCUUGAUGCACAACAUGCUAAGAUCUGAAGAUGCAUGGUUUAUCCAGUGUUGGAUUAUUCAUAUUUCGGUGUCAUAUUUAAGAAUCCACUGCCCAGGAUAAGAUAAUGACCAUUUAUGUGUAUUUCUUCUACAUUCCCUUUAAGAUUUUAAUUCUUAUAUUUAAGUCAUUGAUCUAUUUUGCAUUAACUUCUAUAUACUGUUCACAAUAGUUCAAUUUCAUUUCUCUGUAUGGACCAGCCAGUUGUCCUAGCACCAUUUGCUGAAGAGAUUGUUUGGUUUCCAUUAAAUGUUCUCAGUACUCCUGUAUCAGUUGGCCCUGGGCGUGUGGGCUUGCUGUCAGUGUUGGGUCUGGAGGAACAUCCUGCAGCACCUGGAACAAUUGACCUCAUCUUCUUAGUGCACACCUGCUCCUCUCAGAUCCUGUCUUAGCAUCCUGCUGUGUACAGCUGCGACAACCCUGGGCCAGCCUAAAUCCUCUAAAACAUGUUAUUUUCAUUGAUUUCCUUCACCUCUACUUUGAUCACUGACUAGGGGUUCAGUUGUUGAAACUGUUGCAUUACCUGACCUUUGUCUUCAAGCACAGUGUUGUAUAUAUUGUAUUUCCAAUUCAGUGCAGAGAGAGCCCCCUUCCCUGGAGUAACUGAUGCGCAGAAUUACCCUCUAGAGCAUGUUACAAUGGAGAAUUUUAUUAAUCAGGGCUGGAACUGUGCUCAGUUUUAUAGAGAUUUAUAUCUCUAACCAUAUUAAGAAUCUUGCUUUCUUUAAAACAUGACCCUAACAAGGUGGGAUUUUGUUAUCAGCACAUGGCUUAAAGUCAGACUUCAAGCUUGUUUCCAGCCCCAGGUCCUGCCUUUCCUAGGCAAGGCUGAAAAAAAGUUCUAAUUAAUGCACCAGAGCAUUAAUCUUCUCAUACAUAAAGAGGUGAAGACAACAGAUCUCACUCCAAUCUCAUCCCCAGUGAUCUAAGGACUAGCGAGCACAAUGUACAUGUAUAUACACCUUAUAUGUAUUGAGGCUAGACAAUGCAAUUCCCCAACAGUGUAGCCAAGUCAAGGGAAAGAAAGAUGCCAGUCAAACUCAUUUCAACAUUUUUGAAUGCAUAUAUGCAUUCAAAACUCCAACACAUCUGUAAAUACCAAGACAAAAUAUAAUAAGUUCCUGCCUUUAUUAAGUCUGUUUCCUUUGUGGUUGUCACAAACUGUUUCAUGCCUAAAUACUCCACGUGCAUGUGUGCCAUUCCAGCAGUACAUACAUACAUAUAUGUUUUCAGAACAAUAAUUUUAUGGUCAAGGCUCUUUUGCUGGUUGGUUCCUGGUUUCCUGUAGUAACAUCUCCUUUUCAGCCAAUAGAAUUCAUUAUAGGGUGGGAACAUGGUAGUCUCUCAAGAGGUUUAUUUUAAGUCACCAGAAACAGAGGAGUGAAACAAGAGCCACAUGGAUGAGAUCUCUGGUGACAGACAGUUAGUGAACACCACAGUGUGAGCCCCUCCCCUAUGUUGUUAGGGCUCCAGUUGGUGGGAUAUUUUUGAUAGUUUAAGCCAUUGUUUCCACACUGGGCUAACGACUGUUUCUAAUAUUCCUCUUAACAAAUGCUGUCUUAUCAACUAGCAAUGGUCAAUUAAAAUGGCUACCCAAUGAGUCAUAAUAUAUGAAAGAAUAUUUUCUAAAAAGAAAAGAAAAACUGGACCAAAACACACGACUUGAAUGUGUGGGGGGGGGGGAGGUUUCAAAACACAACAAGGAAGGUCUCCUCGUGAUAGUUUUCCACCUUAAUAUACUGCAGAGGUCUGAACGAGAUGCCUACAACUUAGCCUAGGGAACUUGUUAAACAUAUUUUCAAAGCCCCGACUGCAAAGAUACUUCCAGAGGAGUUGUCUGUAAUAUGGAAGAAAGGAUGUCUUGAAACAUAUGGAAGGAAUGAAUUUAAACUGACUUCAUCUGAAAUGGGGAGUUAAAUCAACUCGGUGCCUUCAUCCAACGGAUUACCAAGCAGCCAUCAAAAAUGGUUUUAUGAAAAUGAUUUUAUUUAGAAAAAUGCUUCCAAGAAAUUACCAAGAGAGAAAGCAGCCUUCAAAUUGUCAGAUAAUAAAUAAAACUCUGUGUUCAAAUCUUCCUUUACCGGUGCUGGCUGAGUGUUUAAAAUAUCAUUUUUAAGAUUCUAGUAAAACAAAAUGGACGUCAUGAAUCUAUACAGUAUUGAUUUCAGUAAGAAAUGCAAAUGGCUCUGCUGAUGCUUCUGGGUUCUGGGAGCUGCUGUGGGGUAUGUCAACUAGGGACCCUUGCUGUGGGCUGUGUGCACUGACUGCCCUUGCUGUGGGCCAUGUGUACUGAGGAAGCUGCCCUCUGGCUGUUCCUUUUCUGCUCACCAUUAUCUCCAUUACCCAUCACUGCUGCUCCUCUAACCCCUUGAGCUGUCUACUGUGAAAUCUAGGGCCAUACAAACUUCCCUGAAGAAUAAGAGAGAAGGGUGAGAGGAGACCGGAAGUCUUACCCAGCUGUGAACUUUGUGAAUGAAAAUCAGGACAUCUUCCCUGAAGCCCGGCUCCUUCCCUCAGCUAUCAGCCCACAACAGAAGGCCAGAUACCUGGGUUCUACAGCUCAGCACUGUUGCUGACUUUGGCACUUGAAGCUCUUAUAUUUUUCUGUCAGCUCCAGGCUCUGCGUGUGUGUGUGUGUGUGUGUGUGUGUGUGUGUGUGUGUGUGAGAGAGAGAGAGAGAGAGAGAGAGAGAGAGAGAGCGCAACACAAAUACAAUAUAGAUGCAAAUUUAUCUUCAGAAUAAGGUCUCUUUUUAUUUUACCUCUUUUGUUUUUAGACUAUAUCUCAAGGGCUUUCAUUUUCAUUGGGAAAAUAUUCAAAAGUUUUGUUUGUUUUGUUUUGUUUUUUUUUUCCUUAACCCACCUAGGAAAGAAAUCAUGCUGAAUGC